rnacentral:rRNA from 1 species
GAUGAACGCUGGCGGCGUGCCUAAUACAUGCAAGUCGAACGAACUUCCGUUAAUUGAUUAUGACGUACUUGUACUGAUUGAGAUUUUAACACGAAGUGAGUGGCGAACGGGUGAGUAACACGUGGGUAACCUGCCCAGAAGUAGGGGAUAACACCUGGAAACAGAUGCUAAUACCGUAUAACAGAGAAAACCGCAUGGUUUUCUUUUAAAAGAUGGCUCUGCUAUCACUUCUGGAUGGACCCGCGGCGUAUUAGCUAGUUGGUGAGGUAAAGGCUCACCAAGGCAGUGAUACGUAGCCGACCUGAGAGGGUAAUCGGCCACAUUGGGACUGAGACACGGCCCAGACUCCUACGGGAGGCAGCAGUAGGGAAUCUUCCACAAUGGACGAAAGUCUGAUGGAGCAACGCCGCGUGAGUGAAGAAGGGUUUCGGCUCGUAAAGCUCUGUUGUUAAAGAAGAACGUGGGUAAGAGUAACUGUUUACCCAGUGACGGUAUUUAACCAGAAAGCCACGGCUAACUACGUGCC